GACGAACGCUGGCGGCGUGCUUAACACAUGCAAGUCGAACGGAAAGGCCCUGCUUUUGUGGGGUGCUCGAGUGGCGAACGGGUGAGUAACACGUGAGUAACCUGCCCUUGACUUUGGGAUAACUUCAGGAAACUGGGGCUAAUACCGGAUAGGAGCUCCUGCUGCAUGGUGGGGGUUGGAAAGUUUCGGCGGUUGGGGAUGGACUCGCGGCUUAUCAGCUUGUUGGAGGGGUAGUGGUUUACCAAGGCUUUGACGGGUAGCCGGCCUGAGAGGGUGACCGGCCACAUUGGGACUGAGAUACGGCCCAGACUCCUACGGGAGGCAGCAGUGGGGAAUAUUGCACAAUGGGCGGAAGCCUGAUGCAGCAACGCCGCGUGCGGGAUGACGGCCUUCGGGUUGUAAACCGCUUUCGCCUGUGACGAAGCGUGAGUGACGGUAAUGGGUAAAGAAGCACCGGCUAACUACGUG
rnacentral:rRNA from 1 species